CCUACGGGAGGCAGCAGUGGGGAAUAUUGGACAAUGGGCGCAAGCCUGAUCCAGCAAUACCGCGUGUGUGAAGAAGGCCUGAGGGUUGUAAAGCACUUUCAAUUGGGAGGAAAAAGCAAGGGUUAAUAUCCCUUGCCUUGACAUUACCUUUAGAAGAAGCACCGGCUAACUCCGUGCCAGCAGCCGCGGUAAUACGGAGGGUGCGAGCGUUAAUCGGAAUUACUGGGCGUAAAGCGUACGUAGGCGGUUAGUUAAGUUAGAUGUGAAAGCCCCGGGCUUAACCUGGGAACUGCAUUUAAAACUGGCUAACUAGAGUUGAGUAGAGGGGAGUGGAAUUUCAGGUGUAGCGGUGAAAUGCGUAGAGAUCUGAAGGAACACC
rnacentral:rRNA from 1 species